rnacentral:rRNA from 1 species
GAUGAACGCUGGCGGCGUGCUUAACACAUGCAAGUCGAACGGGAUCCAGGCAGCUUGCUGCCUGGUGAGAGUGGCGAACGGGUGAGUAAUGCGUGACCGACCUGCCCCAUACACCGGAAUAGCUCCUGGAAACGGGUGGUAAUGCCGGAUGCUCCGACUCCUCGCAUGGGGUGUCGGGAAAGAUUAUAUCGGUAUGGGAUGGGGUCGCGUCCUAUCAGGUAGUCGGCGGGGUAACGGCCCACCGAGCCUACGACGGGUAGCCGGCCUGAGAGGGCGACCGGCCACAUUGGGACUGAGAUACGGCCCAGACUCCUACGGGAGGCAGCAGUGGGGAAUAUUGCACAAUGGGCGCAAGCCUGAUGCAGCGACGCCGCGUGCGGGAUGACGGCCUUCGGGUUGUAAACCGCUUUUGAUCGGGAGCAAGCCUUCGGGUGAGUGUACCUUUCGAAUAAGCACCGG